UACGAAGGGGGCUAGCGUUGUUCGGAAUUACUGGGCGUAAAGCGUGCGCAGGCGGCUUCUCAAGGUCAGGGGUGAAAGCCCAGAGCUCAACUCUGGAAUUGCCUUUGAGACUGAGUGGCUUGAGUACGAGAGAGGUGAGUGGAAUUCCCAGUGUAGAGGUGAAAUUCGUAGAUAUUGGGAAGAACACCGGUGGCGAAGGCGG
rnacentral:rRNA from 1 species